CGCUCCUGGUCUACCGCACCAUCAUCCCCGCUAGCCUCCCCAUCUAGGCCAUCGUCCCUGAUCCUCUCCGGCCGCCAUGAAAUUGAGGUAGUUGUCAUCGACCUUGUUGGGGACAUCGUGUCCCCACUCGAUGUACAGGCGGAGUCCGGCAUGAGAGAGAUAGCGGCAUCCUUGCCAAGUCCGGCGAAGUUCACGAUCUCCAUGUCCUGGCCGAGUCGGACACCGCCUCCUUCCAUCUUGAUCGUGGCCGAAGACAGCAAUGUCGUCCCCCUGCCUGGCAUGCCUGUGGUUCGUGAAUCUAAGGCGUGUGCGCCCCGCUCAGCCUCGUGCAUGUGACCGCCAUUGUUGAUGGGUCCAGCGUCAUGCGUGAGCAAGGUUAUAUUGCAGGGCAAGGACGGUGUCCGGGAGGACGGUGGGAAGUUCAUGGCUUGCGUUGGGGGAGAUCGUCGUGUUGUUUUGUAUGUGCCAGGCUAUGGCAUGGAGUGAAGUGGAACAAUUCGUCACAAUGUGUUUCAACUUUGAAGUGGCUAGGAUACCCGGAAGACCCCACAUGGACGGUGGAUGAGCUCCGCCACCUCAAUGCCGUCAGAGCCCCUUCUUCCACCAACCGCACAGCCACACCGUCGGUCUCCUUUGCCCUGUGGUUGAUUUGGUCAGUACGAGGUUGCACAGGAAGGCAUUUGCCACAGUGUCUCUUGCGGAGAUCUCAGGUUCAAGCCCAUCCGAACUGCAAAAUUUUCUGAAGGUCGAUGGAAAUGAUUUUACUCGAGACGACGCUUUUCCUCCCGUCUGAUUUACCAUCAGUACCGGAUGUCGUCCCUACUACACAACAAACUGGGCAAGGCAUGUUUGGUAAUUGUCGUGCUUUAUUUUGAUGCUCAUGUUAUGAUUACUUGAGGACACAAAUGCAUACCGCGGAGCAGUCUCAUGUGUUCGACCUCCGAGUACUAUGGAUUAUCAGGUUCUUUUAGUUUGUUUCCACAUCAGUUGUGUGCAAGGAGUCUUCUUUUUUCUCUUGUACAUGAAUCUAUUUGCUUUUCUCCAAUGGUACAAUUUCUCAAGUUCAACAAGAGUGUGGUUUGUGCCUUUUAUCCAUUCUAUCAAAAAAUGGAUCGGGCUCUACUAUCGAAAGCGAUAACAGAACAAAACAAGAAAAAUCAACGAGGAGAGAGGGAGAAGUUGGCCAGCAUGGGGUCAUGAGUGGUACAAACAGGAAGAUGGAUGCCCAUAGUUCUUCAGUUUACCUUGGAUUUUUCAGUUUUUUCUCAUCUCAUAAUUACUAUAUUUUAUUUAUGUGUUAGUGCGGUUAAGCUUCUUUAUGUUUUGUUCCUUCCCACUUUAGGCCUCUUGUGCACCUUGAUUUUGUUUUGGAGUUUAUUCGGUGCCAAUGUCUUAGGACAAUACUUUGAUGCAUGGAUUUAUUCCGGCAUUCUAAUUUCAAAACCUUUGUGCCACUGUCUUCAUUGCAUUCAUCUUAAUGGAUGUAAUAUAAACUCUUACUGAAAAACAUGUGUGAUGAUGGAGGAAUGGACGUCAAUUUAAAGGUGCGUAUUAUUCAACUUGAUUCAUUGGUCAGGAUUUUUGAAUAUAUGGCUUGUAAUUCCAGCGACCAAGAACUUAAUUCAUAUUCUAAAAAUUGAAGGGGAGGUAGGGGAGUAUUGUCAAUCAUGUCCAGAAACAAUACUCAUUUUUUUAUUCCAGUCAAUUUAUUUCUUGUGUGUAUCAUUGAUUGAGUAUUUGCGUUGGAACUAAGUAUAUUAGUGCCUUGGAAUUUUCUCUAUGCUUUAUUCACUUGUCAUUGCUAAUGUACAAGACAUACAUUUAUAUUUGGCUUACAUAUUCUUUGUACUUAUCAUCGCACUUCGUGUUUUAUACUAACUGUGGUACCUCUUGAAGGAGGGAAAGCUAGGAGUCAUUUCUGACUAAGGUGCGGAAGCUGGUGGACACGUACAAUUUCUCAAGUUCAACGAGAGUGUGGUUAGUGCCUUUUAUCCAUUCUAUCAAAAAACUGGACCGGGUUCUACUAUCGAAAGCGAUAACGAAACAAAACAAGAAAAAUCAACCAGGAGAGAGGGAGAAGUUGGCCAGCAUGGGGUCAUGAGUGGUACAAACAGGAAGAUGCAUGCCCAUAGUUCGUCAGUUUACCUUGGAUUUUUCAGUUUUUUCUCAUCUCAUAAUUACUAUCUUUUAUUUAUGUGUUACUGCAGUUAAGCUUCUUUAUGUUUUCUUCCUUCCCACUUUAGGCCUCUUGUGCACCUUUAUUUUGUUUUGGUGUUUAUUAGGUGCCAAUGUCUUAGGACAAUACUUUGAUACAUGGAUUUAUUCCGGCAUUCUAAUUUUGAAACCUUUGUGCCACUGUGUUCAUUGCUUCACCUUAAUGGAUGUAAUAUAAACUCUUACUGAAAAACUGGUGUGAUGAUGGAGGAAUGGACGUCAAUUUAAAGCUGCGUAUUAUUCAGCUUGAUUCAUUGGUCAGGAUUUUUGAAUAUAUGGCUUGUAAUUCCAGUGACCAAGAACUUAAUUCAUAUUCUAAAAAUUGAAGGGGAGGUAGGGGAAUAUUGCCAAUCAUGUCCAGAAAUAAUGCUCAUUUUUUUAUUCCAGUCGAUGUAUUUCUUGUGUGUCUCAUUGAUUGAGUAUUUGCGUUGGAACUAAGUAUAUUAGUGUCUUGGAAUUUGCUCUAUGCUUUAUUCACUUGUCAUUGCUAUGUACAAGGCAUACAUUUAUAUUUGGCUUACAGAUUCUUUGUACAUAUCGUCGCACUUCGUGUUUUAUACUGACUGUGGUACCUCUUGAAAUGGGCGCUGAGAUGGCCAUCGACAUUUGCACAUCGCCAUACCUGAGGCAUGAGGACGUCGCCGCCCGGUUCAUCAUUGCUGAUGGGAUCGGCACAAGGCGAGUCAAAUCAAUCUUGUGAAGAAUCUAUUGUUUGCUCCAGUGGCAGGGAUGUUGGUGGCACGAAGUUGUUUAGUAACAGGACGUUCUAAACUAGAGAUUUGAGUUGAAGCACACGAGGAGUUCCUAUCAUCGAUGCUAGCCGUAAAGUUGAAUGCAUAUGUUGGUUUCACAAUUACAUGAUGAUGAGGAUGGAGCUGUCCUUCCAACAAUUGUCUCGAUAACUGAUAGGUAGUAACACUUCAAGCACGAAAUCAGCAUUGCAACGCGCCUGAAUUAUGUAUGGCAUCCGCCCAUGUCCAUAAUUGGAACCUUUGAUAAUUAGAAGAUGCCUGGUACAAUAUUUGUCCAUGUGUUGUACUUAAUUUGUACUACAACGCAAGUCACCAUAAGUUAAUGUGUGCAGUACAAUAAAAUGGAAGAACGGUUAU